rnacentral:piRNA from 1 species
AGGAAGUCAGGUUAGGAACUCAAGCA